GGGUUGUGAGGUUAAGCGACUAAGCGUACACGGUGGAUGCCCUGGCAGUCAGAGGCGAUGAAGGACGUGCUAAUCUGCGAUAAGCGUCGGUAAGGUGAUAUGAACCGUUAUAACCGGCGAUUUCCGAAUGGGGAAACCCAGUGUGAUUCGUCACACUAUCAUUAACUGAAUCCAUAGGUUAAUGAGGCGAACCGGGGGAACUGAAACAUCUAAGUACCCCGAGGAAAAGAAAUCAACCGAGAUUCCCCCAGUAGCGGCGAGCGAACGGGGAGGAGCCCAGAGCCUGAAUCAGUGUGUGUGUUAGUGGAAGCGUCUGGAAAGGCGCGCGAUACAGGGUGACAGCCCCGUACACAAAAAUGCACAUAUUGUGAGCUCGAUGAGUAGGGCGGGACACGUGGUAUCCUGUCUGAAUAUGGGGGGACCAUCCUCCAAGGCUAAAUACUCCUGACUGACCGAUAGUGAACCAGUACCGUGAGGGAAAGGCGAAAAGAACCCCGGCGAGGGGAGUGAAAAAGAACCUGAAACCGUGUACGUACAAGCAGUGGGAGCACGCUUAGGCGUGUGACUGCGUACCUUUUGUAUAAUGGGUCAGCGACUUAUAUUCUGUAGCAAGGUUAACCGAAUAGGGGAGCCGAAGGGAAACCGAGUCUUAACUGGGCGUUAAGUUGCAGGGUAUAGACCCGAAACCCGGUGAUCUAGCCAUGGGCAGGUUGAAGGUUGGGUAACACUAACUGGAGGACCGAACCGACUAAUGUUGAAAAAUUAGCGGAUGACUUGUGGCUGGGGGUGAAAGGCCAAUCAAACCGGGAGAUAGCUGGUUCUCCCCGAAAGCUAUUUAGGUAGCGCCUCGUGAAUUCAUCUCCGGGGGUAGAGCACUGUUUCGGCAAGGGGGUCAUCCCGACUUACCAACCCGAUGCAAACUGCGAAUACCGGAGAAUGUUAUCACGGGAGACACACGGCGGGUGCUAACGUCCGUCGUGAAGAGGGAAACAACCCAGACCGCCAGCUAAGGUCCCAAAGUCAUGGUUAAGUGGGAAACGAUGUGGGAAGGCCCAGACAGCCAGGAUGUUGGCUUAGAAGCAGCCAUCAUUUAAAGAAAGCGUAAUAGCUCACUGGUCGAGUCGGCCUGCGCGGAAGAUGUAACGGGGCUAAACCAUGCACCGAAGCUGCGGCAGCGACGCUUAUGCGUUGUUGGGUAGGGGAGCGUUCUGUAAGCCUGUGAAGGUGUGCUGUGAGGCAUGCUGGAGGUAUCAGAAGUGCGAAUGCUGACAUAAGUAACGAUAAAGCGGGUGAAAAGCCCGCUCGCCGGAAGACCAAGGGUUCCUGUCCAACGUUAAUCGGGGCAGGGUGAGUCGACCCCUAAGGCGAGGCCGAAAGGCGUAGUCGAUGGGAAACAGGUUAAUAUUCCUGUACUUGGUGUUACUGCGAAGGGGGGACGGAGAAGGCUAUGUUGGCCGGGCGACGGUUGUCCCGGUUUAAGCGUGUAGGCUGGUUUUCCAGGCAAAUCCGGAAAAUCAAGGCUGAGGCGUGAUGACGAGGCACUACGGUGCUGAAGCAACAAAUGCCCUGCUUCCAGGAAAAGCCUCUAAGCAUCAGGUAACAUCAAAUCGUACCCCAAACCGACACAGGUGGUCAGGUAGAGAAUACCAAGGCGCUUGAGAGAACUCGGGUGAAGGAACUAGGCAAAAUGGUGCCGUAACUUCGGGAGAAGGCACGCUGAUAUGUAGGUGAAGUCCCUUGCGGAUGGAGCUGAAAUCAGUCGAAGAUACCAGCUGGCUGCAACUGUUUAUUAAAAACACAGCACUGUGCAAACACGAAAGUGGACGUAUACGGUGUGACGCCUGCCCGGUGCCGGAAGGUUAAUUGAUGGGGUCAGCGCAAGCGAAGCUCUUGAUCGAAGCCCCGGUAAACGGCGGCCGUAACUAUAACGGUCCUAAGGUAGCGAAAUUCCUUGUCGGGUAAGUUCCGACCUGCACGAAUGGCGUAAUGAUGGCCAGGCUGUCUCCACCCGAGACUCAGUGAAAUUGAACUCGCUGUGAAGAUGCAGUGUACCCGCGGCAAGACGGAAAGACCCCGUGAACCUUUACUAUAGCUUGACACUGAACAUUGAGCCUUGAUGUGUAGGAUAGGUGGGAGGCUUUGAAGUGUGGACGCCAGUCUGCAUGGAGCCGACCUUGAAAUACCACCCUUUAAUGUUUGAUGUUCUAACGUUGACCCCUAAUCGGGGUUGCGGACAGUGUCUGGUGGGUAGUUUGACUGGGGCGGUCUCCUCCUAAAGAGUAACGGAGGAGCACGAAGGUUGGCUAAUCCUGGUCGGACAUCAGGAGGUUAGUGCAAUGGCAUAAGCCAGCUUGACUGCGAGCGUGACGGCGCGAGCAGGUGCGAAAGCAGGUCAUAGUGAUCCGGUGGUUCUGAAUGGAAGGGCCAUCGCUCAACGGAUAAAAGGUACUCCGGGGAUAACAGGCUGAUACCGCCCAAGAGUUCAUAUCGACGGCGGUGUUUGGCACCUCGAUGUCGGCUCAUCACAUCCUGGGGCUGAAGUAGGUCCCAAGGGUAUGGCUGUUCGCCAUUUAAAGUGGUACGCGAGCUGGGUUUAGAACGUCGUGAGACAGUUCGGUCCCUAUCUGCCGUGGGCGCUGGAGAACUGAGGGGGGCUGCUCCUAGUACGAGAGGACCGGAGUGGACGCAUCACUGGUGUUCGGGUUGUCAUGCCAAUGGCACUGCCCGGUAGCUAAAUGCGGAAGAGAUAAGUGCUGAAAGCAUCUAAGCACGAAACUUGCCCCGAGAUGAGUUCUCCCUGACCCUUUAAGGGUCCUGAAGGAACGUUGAAGACGACGACGUUGAUAGGCCGGGUGUGUAAGCGCAGCGAUGCGUUGAGCUAACCGGUACUAAUGAACCGUGAGGCUUAACCUUACAACGCCGAAGCUGUU
rnacentral:rRNA from 1 species